rnacentral:rRNA from 1 species
CCUACGGGCGGCUGCAGUAGGGAAUAUUGCUCAAUGGGGGAAACCCUGAAGCAGCAACGCCGCGUGGAGGAUGAUGGUUUUCGGAUUGUAAACUCCUUUUGUUAGAGAAGAUAAUGACGGUAUCUAACGAAUAAGCACCGGCAAACACCGUGCCAGUAGCCACGGUAAUAUGGAGGGUGCAAGCGUUACUCGGAAUCACUGGGCGUAAAGAGCGCGUAGGCGGGAUAGCAAGUCAGAUGCAAAUUCCUAUGGCUUAACCAUAGAACUGCAUUUGAAACUGUUAUUCUAGAGUAUGGGAGAGGUAGGUGGAAUUCUUGGUGUAGGGGUAAAAUCCGUAGAGAUCAAGAGGAAUACUCAUUGCGAAGGCGACCUGCGAGAACAUAACUGACGCUGAUGCGCGAAAGCGUGGGGAGCAAACAGGAUUAGAUACCCUUGUAGUC